rnacentral:lncRNA from 1 species
AUUGUUGUCCAAGUGGGACUGAGAGUUCCUUUCCACUUUGUCUGCAGGGUCUUCAAAGGCGUCCUUAGAAAAAGAUUAAUUCCAGUGUUUCUUAUGCAUGAUCAUUUGAUUUUAUUCCCCUAUGCCCAAGCGUUAAGAUGUUUUUUAUUUUUUUUUCCUAUUGGAUCAAGUAGGCUAUGUCCCAGUGUAUAAAUCUCACUUAUUACACAUAAAUAAACUUAAAAUAUGAUUGAAAUCUCUAUAUGUGCUUUCCACUGCGUCAGACGGAAGUUUGGAGACAGAAGUGGUUGAACACAGAAAAACUGAGAAAGCAGUACUGGAAUCCCACAAGCCCCACACCACUUUCUGAUGCCGUGAACGUUUUUCCUGGUGUGGUGCAUCUGCCUCAGUCAUAGAAGCAGUGUUGGUAAUCAGCAUCGUGGAGGCGGCGUCGGUGGUCAGCGUCGUGGAGGCCAGAUAGAUCUUCCUCUUCUGCACAGGCUCCUCCCGGCUUCUCAUCUGUUCUGAAAGCCAGCACGAUUCCACGAUCCUCAGAUCACAUUGCACACCGAAGACCCCAGUGAUCACCUACUGCCUGGAAUCUUCGCCUUGCACCCCCACCCUCCUGUUCCUGCCUAUCCAACAUGGAUUUCCUUACAGCACUGGCCUAGAACAAAAUCAACCUGCAACUUUCUUCCAUUUCUUCUGACUCAAUGAAAACAUGGAUGCAGCUCUGUCUUCAUCCAGGACAGGCCCCUCCUGCACUUGAAUGACUUUGUGUACUUCUCAAUGUCCUGUCCUGUUGAGUUUGCUUCGAUUUCUAUUUGUCUAAUGAAAUCAGUUCAACAUUUUUGGAAAGGAUUCCUACAUUCCACACAUAGUGCUGAGGGUAGGAUCUCUGCUGAAAGCCACACCUGCUCAGGCCUACCUGCUGAAAGCCACACCUGCUCAGGUCACCUGCUGAAAGCCGCACCUGCUCAGGUCACCUGCUGAAAGCCGCACCUGCUCAGGUCACCUGCUGACAGCCGCACCUGCUCAGGUCACCUGCUGACAGCUGCACCUGCUCAGGUCACCUGCUGAAAGCCGCACCUGUACAGGUCACCUGCUGAAAGCCCCACCUGCUCAGGUCACCUGCUGAAAGCCGCACCUGCUCAGGUCACCUGCUGAAAGCCGCACCUGUACAGGUCACCUGCUGAAAGCCCCACCUGCUCAGGUCACCUGCUUCCUGUGCUGCAGGAAGACAGAGGGGGCUUCUACUUUCAUCCGCCUUCCACAUGCCAUGCAGUGCAUCUCAUUCAUGGGUUCUUAUUGCCAUCCACAAUCUGCCGGCAAGGAAAUUUGGAAAGUCUCCCCAGGUUUACAUCUGUGUGAUCUAAGGGGAAGCACGAGUCCUGCCGGAGAACUGAGCCCCAGCUCCCUAAGCCACUUGUGUCUUUCCACUCCCUACCCCAGUUGGUGCAGGGUUGUGUUUGUCAGUUGUGGAAUGGGUGUCCUGGGAGGCACAGUGUUGUUUUAGUGCUGAGGGGACUGCCCCCUCUUUCACUAGCAAAUGUUUAGGCAACAUCGUAAGCGUUUCUCAUGCAACAGCCCAUUAAUGUUCACAUGAACCUGAUUAUGUAAUGACUUAGUGACAAGGAUUUUCUAUUACAAACAGGAAGAGGGGGCUUCAGAGGUGAAGGCCCUGCCUGAGAGCACAGGACUGCUAAGUCUGGGCAGAUGGAAGCAGGAUGAGCCCACGGGACCUUUGCAUCUAACCACUGCACGAAGCCCGGCCCUCCAAGAGUGGUGACUUGGGGAGACACCCCAGUGUGGUAGACCCCAUGACAGAACCAGAGGAGAGUGGGAAACACCAUGUUUGCCAGCCAUGAGGAGCCAUCCAGAGAAUAAUGGCGGCUCCCCAGGACAGAGACGUGCACACUGGAGCCGCCGGGCACCGUGAGCUCUGCUUUCGAGAGUGCUUGACAUCUGGUCGCAGGGUGAUUGUAUUUUCUGUUACUCUUUUUAUUCAGUGUAAGGUUUUCUUCUCCUUUUUAUAGUCCUCUACUGAGUCCCUGGUUAUCCUUGACUUAGAGCAAUUCCAUAUCACAUAGAUCUCCAAAUUCCCCAGACUAGAAAAUGUGCUUUUGAACAAAUUGUGUGGCUUUACUAGAGCAUGAUAAUUGGCAAAAAGAAAACUUGGAAGACUCAGGGCCCAAAAGCCUGACAAUCACAAAUCAAUCUCCAUAGUUUUUGUCCACCCAUUGUGGCAAAGGGAGAAUCUGAACUGCGGUCUUGAAACCAGUGGCUGAUGUGAAGCCCCUUGGGACGCAGUGGUGAGGGGCUCCUGCGUCAGAGUCAUCUGGCUGCACUUCCGGUGCUACAUGACCUUAGGGGAGUCACCAGGACUCCCCAAAUAACGCCAACACCUCCAGCACGGAAGAGGGGGUGUUGGUAGUGACUACAGCAUGAUGACUAGUGGCACCAAACACUUUGCCACGCGGAAUGAGCAGGGCAGUCCGUGGACACCCACGUGGUGUGAAGAAGCUGAGAUUCAGAGAAGUGAAGUGGGCUGCUUAAGACCUCAGACGUAGGGACUGAUGGGACUGGACACAGCAUGCUGUUCACCAUGACUGUCCUGCACCCUUCAGACCUCAGGAGAACCCAAGGAGGCAGGUGCGGCUCUUAAGCACGUGCUGCUGACAGGGACACCGAGCCACAGAGGAACAAAGUCACCCACGGGACAGCAACAGACUGGGAGGCAUCGGGUGAACCCAGCAGGGCAGCUCCUGAAUCUGCCCCUAAACUAGGGGCUGGCGCCUGUGGUCAUUGCCGCCCACCCCACAAAUGUUUCGGUCAAUAGUUUUACUGGCACACAGCCACAGGCAUUCACUCCACAUAGACAUUGUCUGUAGCUGCUUGCAAAGCUGUAGCCGCUGAGUUGAAUAAUUGCAAGCAAGACCGCAAAGCCUAAAAUACAUAUUUUGGUCCUUUAAAGGAAAAGUGUGCUGACCCCUGGUCCAAAGCACCAGACUGUACUGCUCCCGAUAUGCAGCAGGCCUUGACUGAGGACAGAGUAUUUGUAUCUACACUGUGGAAGGAUAUCUGAGGUCCUCUUGAAAAGCUCAAUGUCCUACUGAGCAUGGGCAGCAACACCUUCACUGAGGGGUGAGAGCUGGAGUGGUGACUGAACCUCUGGGGUGACGGCAGAGGCUGUCUGAGCUGUAUAUCCAGAUGCACAGUUUUAACACCUGCAAGAAUGCAAUCUGCAUCACAGCUGCCCAGGCCUGGGUCCUGCUGCACUUCCACUUCCACGAGAGACAUGCAGGGGCCAGCUGGGGCUGGACAAGGGGAGAUGGGUGGAUGACAGACAGUGCUCUCCACUGACAGUCCUCUACCCCUGACCACCUAGACCCACUGACUGGCAGUUAUCACUCCUGCUUUUAUUUCCUUUGGGAUAAGUUCUUUCCCAGGAGGCUCCUAGAUUCUUUUUCAAACAAGAUUUUAGCAGGCGCCUCCCAUCAAUCUUUCAGAUACAUUUGGAUGUGUAUGAGCCCAGCUGAGGCUUGAGUGAAGACGGCCACUACCCUGCACGUCCUAGCACCAGAGACUUAUGUCAGAGCUCCUUGAAGAUUCCUAGCACCCAGAGUGCUCCUAAACUAACGGUAUUCCCUGGUUUCUAACAGAAGCAAAUGCAAAUCCUCUCUGAAGAAGAGCAUUUCUUUGGCCCAUUUUGUAUGUCUGUGUAGCAGGGCGAACCACAAAGAAGCUAACGAUUAAAAAUUACCAGAAAAACCUGAAAGAGUGGCACCAGGAAUGAGAGUCACAGAAAGCAAACCAAAAAUGAGCCCAAGGAAAGAGAAUAUUAAAAAUAACCAGACAUAAUUAGAAUAGAUAACUUUUAGAAAUAAAAAAAAUCAGUGAAUUAAAAACUCAAUAGUUGUUAAAAUGAAUGACGAGAGAAGUAAAAUAGAAGAUUUCUCUGAAGAAAUUACACAGAGAUACCCAGAAAUAUAAUGAGAUGGUAAAUAUAAAAGAGGUUAAGAUAUAUAAAAAGUCAAUUGAAAAACUCUAGCUUAAGUUUAAGCUGUGCCACAGAUGAAAGAGUAAAGGGAAUGGCAUGAAAGCCAUAUUAUGGAAGAACUAAUACUAAGAAAAUAAAAAAAUCCACACUUAUGCAUAUUCUAAUAAAACUUCAGAACAGCAAAAACAAAGAGAAGAUCUUAAAUGCAGCUACAGAGACAUGAGAAACAUCUCUAAUGAAAUAAUUCAACUGCCUGAAGAUUAGUGAACAGAAACAAUGAGAAUUAGGAGACAGAAGAAUAACCUUUUCCAAGCACUGUAAGAAAAGAAGUACCAACUGAAGAUGGUGUACCUAGCAAAAUUAGCUUCAAGAAUUAUAGCAAUAUAAAGACAUUUUAGAUAACAAAAAACUGAGUCACCUAUAGGGAGAACAUUAUUAUUAAAUAUAGUGCUAAAUGAUUAUUUUGAAGGAUUUCAGUAAGGAGAAAAUAAUCCUACAAACAAGUAAGAGAAAAGAGAGUGAUAAUUAUGUGACUAAAUGUAAACAACCAUAAUGAUAUAAAUAAUAAUAAAAUAAUAUAUCUUGGGAUUUUAAAAGAUAUGCAACUAAAAUACAAGGAAACAAUUGCAAAUAAAUUGGAAGAAUGGUUAGUGAAAUGAAAAUUUCCUAAUGCCAAAGUCUAGUCUUCCUCUUGAAAAGGUUUAAGUUAUAGAUUUCUUUUCUUGUAUUUUCUUUGGUGGUUUUGGUAUCAGGAUAAUUCUGAGCUUAUAAAAUAAGUUGAAAAGUUUUCCCCUCUUUAUUUUCUGGAAGAGGUUGUAUAAAAUUGCUGUUAGCUCUUCUUUAAAUGUCUGUUAGAAUCCUCCAGUGAAAUCAUGUGGGCCUGAAAAUCUCUUUUUGGGAGAUUUUUAGUUAGGCUUCGAUGUCUUUAAUGUUUAUAAAACUCUUCCAAUUAUCUAUUUCAUCUUGGUUGAGAUUUUUCAGUUUGUGAUUUUCAAGGAAUUGGUUUAUUUCUUCCAAGUGUCAAAUUUAUGAACAUAAAUUGGUUGUUGCAGUCCUUUAUUUUAUUUAGAUCAUGGUAGGAUCUGUAGUGAUAUCACUUAUUUCACUCCUGAUAUUUCUGGUUUGUAUCUUCUCUUUUUUCUUUUGUCAGUAUUGCUAGAGUCUAUUAACUUUGUUGAUUUUUUUUUUGAAGAAACAGCUUUAGGUUUUGUUAAUUUUUUCUAUUAAAUUUCUAUUUCAGUUUCACAGAUUUUGCUCCCUAUUAUUUCCUUCUAUCUACUUGAUUUUAGUUUAUUUUGUUCUACUUUUCUACUUUUUUGAGGCACUCACUUAGAUAAUUGAUUUGAGACCGUUACUGUUUUGUAGUAUAAGCAAUUCAUGUUAUAGAUUUCCCUCUUAGCACUGCUUUAGCUGCUGCACAUAUUUUGAAAUGCUGUGUUUUCAUUUUCAUUCUAUUCUAUGUGUUUCUUAAACUUUUGGAGACUUUUUCUUGACACGUGGAUUAUUUAAAAGUCUGUUGCUUAAUUUCCUUAUGUUUAAAUAUUUUCCUGUUGAUUUUUAGUGAUUGAUUUCUAGUUCGCUUUCAUUAUGUCAGAUAAUAGACUAUAUGACUACAAUUUUUAAAUGUAUUGAAGUUUGUUUUAUGUCUCAGGAUGUGGUCUAUCUUAGUGAAUGUUCCGUGGACACCUGUAAACAUGUAUAUCCUGCUGUUGUCAUAGGCAAUGUAUUGCUUAUGUCAAUUAGAUACUGUUAAUUGACUGUGUUAUUCAGAUCCUAUAUAUCCUGGCUGUUUUUCUGCUUAUUUUUCAGUUGCUGAGAGAGAGGUAUUAAAAUCUACAACCAUAAUGUUUGAUUGGUCUAUUUCUCCUUUCAGUUGUUGAUUCAUGUAUUUUAAGGUGCUGUUGUUUGGUGCAUAUACAUUUAGAAUUAUUAUAACUUCCUGGUAGAUUUAUCUUUUUAUCAUUUUUGUACUGUCCCUCUUUGUCUCUAGUAAUUUCCUUUGCUCUGAAGUCGACUUUAUUAGAUAUUAAUAGAGUCACUUCUGAUUUUUAGAUUAAUGCUGCAUGGUCUGUCUUUGUUCAUCCUCCUCCUUUCAAACGAGCCAUAUAAUUGAAUGUGAAGUGAGUUUCUAAUAAGGUGCAUAUAGGUGUGUGUUGCGCUGUGGGAUUCAGCUCGAAUCGUCCUUCCCCCGUUAGUUGUGCACACAUUAACUCAGCUAAUCUGUGCAAUGAGAAAAGCAUGUCUAAAUACGACUAAAGUUUUCAAAACCACCACGGCAUGGAAAGUCAGUGAUCCACAGAUUAGAACAACAUUCCAUUGUAAAGCAUCUCUAAGGAAAAGCAUCCAAGAUAAAAAGAUAACAGCCUGAGAAAAUGUUUGUAAUAAUGAUGUUUAUCACUUGCACAUCUACCUGGGCUUGGUUCUGCCAUUGGUUGAGGGUCUGGAAAUGACGCCUCUGGGUCUCCUUCUUGUAUGGGUAGGGGUAUAUCAGAUGCCCUGCCACUGUGCUCAUGUUUUCCUCUUUUUUAGUCCUUAGGUACCAAACCAUUUUCACCUUUAUCCAGCCACCAUUCAGAGUUCUCCUUUGGUUGUUUCUUGCAGUAUUUUCAGAGUUUCUAGUCAUAGUUAUUGGUGUGAGCAGGAAGAAACAGGUCUAUAUCAGCUUGAACAGGUCAGAAAUUCUGCUAAAGCUAUAGUCUCACAGAAUGUCAGGGUUUAUUUUAGCAAAACAAAAAAUAGUGUAUAAAUCCUAAUUGAGUGUACUGAAGGGAAAGAAGAAGAAUUAAGAAUAAAAAUAAUAUCAAAGAUUUAUGUAGAGCUGACGUUGUGCUGGGCAUACACACUUACACAUAUGCAUAUGUGCUCUGUGACUGUAGGAAUCUAGGUUCUGUCUUGCUGAGUAUUCCUAAAUUAAUAUAUUGAGACUUAACCUCUUUCUUGAACUUCAGGCUUGUAUCAGCUUGCUUCAUUAAAGUCUCUAUUUUGCUACGUGAACACCUCAAACUCAACAUGUCCAAACCACUUUCCAUCUUCCCUGCACGCUAGUUCCUCCUGCAGAUCCCUCACAUUUGUUAGUGAUGACUUCUCCCUUCCAGCCACUCCAGUCAGAGAUCCUGGAGUCGCCUUUUGAUGCCUCUCCUUAUCUCAUUACUCAGAUCCAAUCAUUGGCAAGUCCAGUUGGUGCUACCGUCAGAGCAUAUCAAGAAUCUAACCUCUCCUUUGCAUUAUUCCAGCUAGCCAUCUUCUUAGGCUGUUGUCCCUCUCAUUUGAUGAUGGUAGCAGCCUCCUAAUAUGAUCCUGCUUCACCGGUUUCUCUCUUCUGCCCUUUUCAACACAUCAGCCAGAAGGACCUUGUUAAGUCUGAGUCGGAUGCAGUCCCUCUCCUGACUGUGUCUCCUACGGCUUCCCACUCCAUCAGGGUGAAAUCUCUUGCAGGGUUUUCAAGAUCUCGUGUAAUACAUCCCACAACCUCUCCUUCUCUAUCUAAUGCUGGCCGUGUCCUGUCCGCCAGUCUCAGAGAGCUCUCCGUUCUUCCCCACUGCUACGUGCCAGGAGGCUGAACCUCAUGACCUUUAGGUGCAGGCUCCUUGCUUUCCGUUUUCAGCUGGCUUUAGAACUGGAAACACCAGGAGGAAGUCAGGAUGUGGGAGAAGGGUGAAGCUGGGGAAGUCUCUCUUUCUCCCUUCUCCUCGGCCAGGUGUUGGCAAGGGUUGCUCUUCUUUGUGUCCACAGAUCCUGUCCAGUGGGCUCCCUACAGCCCAGGCAGGCUCUUGCGGGGCUCCAUGGUUAUACCUCGCCUUGCUUCAGGCCAAGGGUUUGGAAUGGUUUGCUUAACUGAUCACACCUCCAUACUUCUCUUUUGAAUGUGCCAUCUGCUUCCUGCUAGGGCACUUAUUUUCUUGCUAUGCACCUGCCUGUUGUUGUUUUCGUGGCCUGGCCAGGUGGUCCUCCUUCCUAUCACUUUAACAACAAGCAUGAAUUUGAAGUUGCCAUCAUUUCUACCUAGAAUGUGCUUCCAGAUAUCCAUGUGCAUCACUCUCCAGGCUUCCUAAACAGAAGGAUCGAGUGUUGUGGGUAGUGACUAACUGGGGGCAGUGGUGCAUACAGUAAAGGGAUUUACAAAGGCAGUUUACCUUUACCUACAAGGUAAAGGAAGGUGGAUUUGUUAAAGAAAGUAUGAAAAUAUGUUGCAAGGAUGCAAUGGGUAGAUCAGCAAGAAAGGAGCUGAGUUCCAGGAGACAAAAGCUUGCUGGGUAUUUUACAGGAUGGUGCUUGUGCUGGAGAGGAAUACGUGCAGUACUGGUAACACUAAGAUUGCAGUGAGCGAACCUGCAUUUUUCUGUCAGCUGAGGUGUCUGCUGGUAAGUCAGGCAUAGGGAGAUUGUGUGUUAGAUGGGCUAUUUGCGCAGGAGGGCUGUGUGUCCUGGACCAUGAAGAAAGGCAGAUUUGUAGUUUAUCUGCUUUGUCUUUUUGCUUUCCCUGCUCCCCCUAGCCUGGCUCCUUUUCCUAAUCAGGACCCCACACCAGAUCACACCCUCACUCCCAAGUCUGGUCAUUUUCUUUAAAGUUAGAAUAUAUCCACUUCCCACCGCAAUGCUCUGGGUUCCCUUUAUCCUGGCUUACGUCACAUAGAAAAGCGUAAUUUAUAACUUAACAAAAGUGAGUAGCUAACGAAGAAAGCAGAUCAUACAUGACACCAUAAACUGUAAACAAUAAAAGCUGAAUUGGUAAAGAUCUUCUAACUGGAAAGCCCCAUACCGAGAUGGUGUUAAAUGCAUCGUUUCUAUAAAUGCUCAUGGUAUUUUUAUAAGGUGGACACUAUUAUUUCAUCUUAGAAAUCAGCAAAGAGAGGCUUUGAGAAAGGAACUAAAUUGCCCAAGAUCAAACAGCCAGUAAUGUCAGGGCAGGGAUUAGAAAACUUUAACAAUUAUAAAAUUUCAUGAAACAUGAAAAUAAGGAAUACAUCCCUUCAAAGCAGCUAUGAGAUGUAUGUAUUAGAGCAAAGGAGCAGUGAAAGUUACUGCAUAUUUCUUGGCACUUAGUCCAUGGAUUGCUUUCAGUGUUAUGAUUCCUCUGAGUCACAGAACCUGACAAUUGUGAGCACUGUUACUGCCCUAAUUCCUGCAGCCUCAGCUGUGAAACUUUCAGUAUUUUUCUUUUGUUUGUUGAGCCAGUUAUUAAAAAAAUGAACUACAACAGCUAAUUCUUUCUGUUUAUCUAAAUGCUUGUCAAAAUGCCUAAGCAGUGAUUUGCCAGGUUUGGGAGUUAUACGUGCUUAUACAUUUCAAAUAAACUGUGGCAGCGGCCUUAGCUUUUGUGGCUCCAGCAGGCGUAAGUGAGUGUGUGUGCUUUCUCUCUCCGCAUCUGCUGCUUGACAUCUUUAAUUUAUUAUUCCUGUUAUAUAACUUUGUUUUGGCGCUUGAACUUCCAUUCCCAUGACUUUAUGUUGAAAAACAGUUUUAAAUCUAGGAUUUGCAUUUCACCACAGUGAUAGAGCCUGGUUAUUUAUUGUUAUUUGCAAUAUGGCAUAUAAUAUGGCAAUAAUCUAUGUCUAGUCAACAGUCAGGAAUAACAAAAGAUUCAUGGCAUAUUAAAACAAGAUUGAUGUCCCUCUGCCGAGGGAGGUUAUUGCUGGCCUAAGCACAAAUGGCCAGAGUGAGUUGCACAGGCUGUGCAGCCCUGGAGGCCGUGGCUCUGGCCUCUCAGCCUUGCUCACACCCAGACCCCUGCACCCUUCUGUGAAGAACCCCUGUGAUUUCAAUCCUGCAGUGUGAAGUUGCCACGACGGAGCCAGCAUCUCUAUCCAAGUCUCCUGGGUGAUAGAACGCAUAUGUAGGCCAAACUCUGCAGCACUGAUGCAGCUGGUGAUGACUAAACAUGGCAGAUUUACCUAGUCAGUGACUUUAUGCAGGAAGAAACCGAAUGCAUGUGCGCAUCUUGAGAUGCGUGGGCCUUCUGUCCUGUGUGCAGCUGCGUGUGCUCCCCCACUGGCCCGGCCUGCGCGCUUUUCUGCCCCGGCACUCGCCAGCUGCCCAGUCCAGCUCAAGCCGGGAUUUUCCACGGCUGCCUCUGAACGGUCUCCAAGCCGCAGCUUCCUCUCCUCCUUCUGAGCUCCAAGUACCAUUGCUAUAAGGGGACAGGAGCAGGGUGGGAGAUUGUCCUGAGUCUUGACUCUGACUGUGCUGUGUGCAGGGUUAUCACCUUUCCACAUCCCACUUUCUUCGUCUUUACAGUGGGGAGAGCAACUUUUACCUUUCCCAUCCCGAAGCAGGGCUGUGGUGGUAGGAAGAUCAAAGAAAUUGCUUUAGCUUUUAAAAAUAGACAAGAAGCCAACAGUUCUUGGGUGGACGUGUCAGACCUGUUCCCGACAGGACAGAUGGCAGCACAGCCAGACCCGCUCAGUGUCCCAAGAGCAGCCCCGGCAAAGCAAGGCGGGAGCCGCCCCUCACCAGCCCAGCUGUGCUCACACACCCCCUCUGCAAUGUCGGAUGGUUCACAACAGGAUUUAUCGUUUUCUUUAAAGUCGCCUUGUGGAAACUCUUGUAUCCCUUACUCUCUUGUGCUGUUAUUGAAGGUUUAAUGGGUUCGUUUUGACUCCUCAGAUAGACUGUGCUUGAUAUUUCUUGCAAGCUCAACACGAUGGCUGGAACAUGUAAGUGUGUGAGUUAAAAACAGUUUGGGCUGCUUUUUAAUUAGAACUAUUAAAAAAGAAUUUUGGUUGCUUUUUAAUUGGAGCAAUGAAAAAUCAAACGAUCACCUGCUCAAAUCAGAAAAUUCUUAGUUUUCCAACUUAGUUUAUAAUUUCCUUCCUUAUAUCUUUGGGUUUAAUUUGCAGUUCUUUUCCUAGUUUCGGGGGGCAGAAGCUCUGAGCCUUUACUCCAAAACUCUUCCUAUUAAAUAUAUGCAACUGAAGCUAUACAAUUUUCUCUAAGCACUGCUCUAGCUUCGUCCCUCAUGUUUUGAUACGACACUUUUUAUUAUUUUUCAAUUCAAAACAUUUUCAACAUCCAUCGUGCUCCUAUGCGUAACAGCGUGGAAGUGUUUUGUGUGAUUAUUUCAGUCAUCUUUCUGUUGUGUUACAGUGUGAUUGUGUUGUGCAGGAAAACAUAAUUUGUGUGAUUUUACUUAUCUUUUUAUUUUUAAUUUGUUGAGAUGUGUUUUAUGGUCCAGUCUGUUUUGGUAAAUGUUCCUUGUUCCCUUGAUAAAGAGUUUACACUGCAGUUGUUGGGUGCAGUGUUCUGUAUACACCAGUUAGGAACAUUUAGUUGUGUCCCUAAAGGCUAUUUUUAUACUUUUUUUUUUUUUUGGUUUGUUUAUUCUCUCAGCUUCUGAAACAGGUGUUAAAAUCCUCAACUAUGCUUUUGGAUAUUUCUCUUCUUCUGCUUAGUUAAGUCUUUUUUUUUUCUAUACAUGUGUAGCAAUGUUAUUAGGCACGUACACACAAUUAUGAGUUUUGUAUCUUCCUGUUUUUAUGAAAUGUAGCUUUUAUCUUUAGGAAUAUUUUUGCCUUAAUUAAACUCAACUGUCUCGUAGUGCUAUAGCUACCUCAGCUGCCUCUUAAACACAAUGUGUCCAUGACUCCCACUCUAUAGACAUUUAUCUUCAGCCUGCCUGUAUGAUUUUAUCUAAAAUGUGCCUCCUGCAAAUUUCAUAUUGUUGGGUUCUCGGUUUUUCAUACAGACCAUCUUUGUCUUCUGAUUAGAUUGUUCAGUUUUAUACAUUUAAUUACUAAAAUAAUUGUGUUUAAGUAAGUCUACCAUCCUACUAUUCUAUUUCUCUUGUCUGUUUUUAUUUCUUUGUUCCAUUUUUCUUAAUUCCUUUCAGAUAAAUCAAGUAUUUUCAUGUGCUGAUUUUUCUUUUUCAUUAUAUUUUAGUACAUUAUUUUAUUAUUCUCUUAGCAGCUACCCUAAGCAUCUUUGAGUAGCUAAUGUUUAAAGUAGUAAUUUUAAUAUUUCUCUGAAAAUACAAGAAGCUUCCAAUAGUUAACUCCAUUUUGCACUAAUAUAAUAUAAAAUUUUACUUAUGCACACCUUAUAAAACUUGCACUACAUUUUUACAGUUGUUGUUUUAAACAGUUUUUCUUAUUUUCACAGUUUCUGGAGUGUGCUUCAUUCCUUCCUGAUGAUCUCUGCUUACCUGUAGGAUCUUCUGGACUUUUCUUUCAGCUCAAGAAACUUCUUUUACUGUUUAAUGUCAUUCUGUGGCAGGAAAUUGAUCAACUCUUCUCUGACUUGAAAUGUCUUUAUUUCAUCUUAUGUUUAAUGAGGUAUGAUUGCUGUAAAAUAAGUUGCAUAUAUUGAUGAAUACUGAUACAGUGACAUAUUGAUUUCCCAUGAAAACAUGUGUUUCUGUAAGCAAAAGGCUUCCUCAUGUUCCUUGGUGUCCAUUCCUCCCUCUGUUCCUGUCCUGAGGCAACUGUCAGUUUGAUUUCUGCCACUGUAAAAUGGUUUUCAUUUUCCAGAAUUUCAUGUAAAUGGAGUCUUGCAGUGCAUGCUCUUUCUUACUUUUAACCUGGCUGCUUUAAUUUCACCUGACAAUUUUGGGUGCAUCGUCCACUCAUUGCGUCCCCCAGUAGUUUGUUCCUUUUUAUGGCUGAGUCGUUGCCCGUUGCAUGAGCACAGCACAAUUUAUCUACCCAUUUACCUGCUAAUAGACAUUUAUAUUAUUUUCUAUAUUAUUUAAUAUAUAUAUUUAAUAUAUUAUUUAAUAUAUUAUUUUUAUAUUAAAAAUAAAAAAUGAUAUGAGCAUUUGUAUCCAAAAAUUUGGGUCUCAAAUGUAUUAAUUCUAGGAGUAGAAUAUCUGAGUCAUAUGGUAGGUGAAUGUUUAAUGUUUUAUAAAUUGACCACACUGUUUUCCAAAACGGUUUACAUUCUCAGCCGAAGUGUAUAAGAGUUGAAAUUGCUCUGCAUCCUCACCAGCGUUUGCUAUGGUCAUACUUUUAAAUAUUAGAUAUUCUCACACGAGUGCAAUGGUAUUGCUCUUAUGGUUUUAACCUCCUUUUCCCUAAAGACUAGUACUGUUGAGCAUCUUUUCCGUUGCUGAUUUGCCAUUUGUGCAUCUUUUCUUCUUGUUGUUGUUGUUGUUGAAAUAUCCAUUAAAAUAUUUGUCCAACUCAGUCCACAAAUGUACUGAGUUGUUUGUUUUCUUACCAUUGUGUUAUAAAUUAUUUAUAUAUUCAGAACAAAAGCUCUUUUUCAGAUAUUUAUUUUGCAAAUACUUCCUUUCAGUCUAUUAAAUAAUUUUAAUGAUGUCUUUUGAAGAAUAAAAGAUUAUAAUUUUCA